GGAGCGGUAGUUCAGUUGGUUAGAAUACCGGCCUGUCACGCUGGGGGUCGCGGGUUCGAGUCCCGUCCGCUCCGCCA
rnacentral:tRNA from 4 species